UACAUUGUUGGGCAUUUCUUUACAUGGU
rnacentral:sRNA from 1 species